CGACGAAUCUUCCGCAAUGGGCGAAAGCCUGACGGAGCGACGCCGCGUGCGGGAUGAAGCGGCUUCGCCGUGUAAACCGCUGUCAGGGGAUAGAAACACUGAUCUUCCCCAAAGGAAGGGGCGACUAACUCUGUGCCAGCAGUCGCGGUAAGACAGAGGCCCCGAGCGUUAAUCGGAAUCACUGGGCUUAAAGGGUGCGUAGGCGGACCGCUAAGUGUCGCGUGAAAUCCCACUGCUCAACGGUGGAACCGCGCGGCAAACUGACGGUCUUGAGGAAUCUAGAGGCCGGUGGAACGAUUGGUGGAGCGGUGGAAUGCGUAGAUAUCAAUCGGAACGCCCGAGGUGAAGACGGCCGGCUGGGGAUUUCCUGACGCUGAGGCACGAAAGCGUGGGGAGCAAACAGGAUUAGAUACCCCCGUAGUCC
rnacentral:rRNA from 1 species